CCGCGUCGCCCGCCGUCGCCAGUGCGGAGCGUGGGGAGCACUCGGCCGCAGCCCUCGCCUGCCGCGGAGGGUCGCGCCCGGCGCCGCCGGCCAGGCUGCCCUGUGCCCGGGCCUUUCCGUCCUUGGAGCGGAUCGUUGCCCGCCGGGCGCCCGCCCGCAGUGACAGCACCCGCCGGAGCCGAGGCCGCGGCGGCGGCCGUGCCCAUGACCGGGUAUCUGUGCUUAGCUUCUUCCCCGUCGCCUCUGCCACGCCUCACCCCGGCACUGGGACCUCAGGUAGCCACCUGCCC
rnacentral:lncRNA from 1 species